rnacentral:rRNA from 1 species
UACGGAAGGCAGCAGUGGGGAAUCUUGCGCAAUGGGCGAAAGCCUGACGCAGCCAUGCCGCGUGAAUGAUGAAGGUCUUAGGAUUGUAAAAUUCUUUCACCGGGGACGAUAAUGACGGUACCCGGAGAAGAAGCCCCGGCUAACUUCGUGCCAGCAGCCGCGGUAAUACGAAGGGGCUAGCGUUGCUCGGAAUUACUGGGCGUAAAGGGCGCGUAGGCGGAUCGUUAAGUCAGAGGUGAAAUCCCAGGGCUCAACCCUGGAACUGCCUUUGAUACUGGCGAUCUUGAGUAUGAGAGAGGUAGUGUGGAACUCCGAGUGUAGAGGUGAAAUCGUAGAUAUUCGGAGAACACCAGUGGCGAAGGCGACAUACUGGCUCAUACUGACGCUGAGGCGCGAAAGCGUGGGAGGCAACAGGGAUUAGAUACC